CCUACGGGAGGCAGCAGUGAGGAAUAUUGGUCAAUGGCCGGAAGCCUGAACCAGCCAAGUAGCGUGCGGGAUGAAGGCCCUACGGGUUGUAAACCUCUUUUGCACGGGGAUAAAACCCUCCACUUGUGCAGGUCUGCAGGUACCGGGAGAAUAAGGGCCGGCUAAUUCCGUGCCAGCAGCCGCGGUAAUACGGAGGGCGCGAGCGUUAUCCGGAUUCAUUGGGCUUAAAGGGAGCGUAGGCGGGCGUUCAAGUCAGCGGUAAAAUCGCGCGGCUCAACCGCGCCCCGCAGUUGAAACUGGGCGCCUUGAGUUCGCAACAGGCAGGCGGAAUGCGUGGUGUAGCGGUGAAAUGCAUAGAUAUCACGAGGAACCCCGAUUGCGAAGGCAGCCUGCCGGGGUGCGACUGACGCUGAGGCUCGAAGGUGCGGGUAUCAAACAGGAUUAGAUACCCUUGUAGUC
rnacentral:rRNA from 1 species